UGGGGACGCACAACCGUUGGGCGAGCCGGUGUGGAAGUCCCAGUAGAAGAUUGAGCAACAAGAUCGCAGACGACAUGUGGUGUUGUGAAUGUGGCAGGCUUAUGCUGAGGAGCUAGAGGAAAAGUGGUGGAAGUAUUGAGAUGCUUUUGGCUUGGAAUGAAUUCUAAGUCAUGUUGCGGUGCAUCAACAACAGUAGAAAACUGACUUUGAGAUUUUGGUGGAAAACUCGAGGUAUUUAUUGGAUCAAUAAAGGGAAAUAGAGGAGGAGGCAACCCACUAGCCCAAGCUCGAUACAUUUCUGUCAUUUGUUCUCUUAGC
rnacentral:lncRNA from 1 species